rnacentral:rRNA from 1 species
UACGUAGGGUGCAAGCGUUGUCCGGAAUUAUUGGGCGUAAAGAGCUCGUAGGCGGUUCGUCGCGUCGGCUGUGAAAUCCCGAGGCUCAACCUCGGGUCUGCAGUCGAUACGGGCGGACUGGAGUUCGGCAGGGGAGACUGGAAUUCCUGGUGUAGCGGUGAAAUGCGCAGAUAUCAGGAAGGACACCCGUGGCUAAGGCGGCUCUCUAGUACGGUACUGACGCUGAGACGCGAAAGCGUGGGGAGCGAACAGG